rnacentral:rRNA from 1 species
CUGCCAGACUUGGAACCGGGAGAGGUAAGAGGUACUACAGGGGUAGGAGUGAAAUCUUGUAAUCCCUGUGGGACCACCUGUGGCGAAGGCGUCUUACCAGAACGGGUUCGACGGUGAGGGACGAAAGCUGGGGGCACGAACCGGAUUAGAUACCCGGGUAGUCCCAGCCGUAAACGAUGCUCGCUAGGUGUCAGGCAUGGCGCGACCGUGUCUGGUGCCGCAGGGAAGCCGUGAAGCGAGCCACCUGGGAAGUACGGCCGCAAGGCUGAAACUUAAAGGAAUUGGCGGGGGAGCACAACAACGGGUGGAGCCUGCGGUUUAAUUGGACUCAACGCCGGACAACUCACCGGGGACGACAGCAAAAUGUAGGCCAGGCUGAAGACCUUGCCUGAAUCGCUGAGAGGAGGUGCAUGGCCGUCGCCAGUUCGUCG